rnacentral:rRNA from 1 species
UGGAGGCAGCAGUGGGGAAUUUUGCGCAAUGGGGGAAACCCUGACGCAGCAACGCCGCGUGAGUGAUGAAGGCCUUCGGGUCGUAAAGCUCUGUCAGAGGGAAAGAAAUGCAUGGUGGCUAAUAACCAUUGUGCUUGACGGUACCCUCAAAGGAAGCACCGGCUAACUCCGUGCCAGCAGCCGCGGUAAUACGGAGGGUGCGAGCGUUGUUCGGAUUUAUUGGGCGUAAAGCGCGUGUAGGCGGUUUUUUAAGUCUGAUGUGAAAGCCCCGGGCUCAACCUGGGAAGUGCAUUGGAUACUGGAAGACUUGAGUACGGGAGAGGGUAGUGGAAUUCCCAGUGUAGGAGUGAAAUCCGUAGAUAUUGGGAGGAACACCGGUGGCGAAGGCGGCUACCUGGACCGAUACUGACGCUGAGACGCGAAAGCGUGGGGAGCAAACAGGAUUAGAUACCCCGGUAGC